UCAACUCCAUUGGGAGCCUUAGGGAUGCACAAAAGAUUCAAAGAGGCCAACGCUGCUUCAAGAGGACUUCAGUAAGUCCAAACGACCCGAUUUUAAAGACCAAUGAAGGCAAAGGGAGAGAGAGUGACGGCGCCCGGAAAGUUUCCGUAGAAACUUGAAAAAAAAGAAAACCAUCAGGCCUCAGGAAGAUUGGACUCUGGAGAGCUCUUGGCAUGACACUCUCGAUUGUUAUACGCUUGUUCUGCCCUUUAAUUUCAAUGGAGAAAACAAGGAGACUAAUUUAACACCGAAAAACUGCCCUUAAAGUCACUGAUUAGAAAGGAGGGUGCUUUGUGCAGUAGCCAGCUCGGAUUUCAUCUUGAGGGCAACACCUCAUUCAACCCUCAUGAUAAACUCAGCCGUGGAGACUCAGCAUCACCACUUGGAUAGCUGAAGAAAUAGAGGUUCAGAAGACUGAGG